rnacentral:rRNA from 1 species
GAUGAACGCUAGCUAUAGGCUUAACACAUGCAAGUCGAGGGACCGGCGCACGGGUGAGUAACGCGUAUCCAACCUACCCAUAACUAAGGGAUAACCCAGCGAAAGUUGGAAUAAUACAUUAUGGUUAUGGCUGGGGAGGCGUCUGAUUAGCUUGUUGGCGGGGGAACGGCCCAGCAAGGCAACGUUCAGUAGGGGUUCUGAGGGGAAGGUCCCCCACAUUGGAACUGAGACACAGUCCAAACUCCUACGGGAGGCAGCAGUGAGGAGUAUAGGUCAAUGGACGCAAGUCUGAACCAGCCAAGUAGCGUGCAGGAUGACGGCCUAUGGGUUGUAAACUGCUUUUAUAUGGGGAUAGGUACCAGAUGAAGAAGGACCGGCUAAUUCCGUGCCAGCAGCCGCGGUAAUAC